AGAUUAAGUUAUUAAGGGCGCACGGUGAAUGCCUUGGCACUAGAAGCCGAUGAAGGACGUUACUAACGACGAUAUGCUUUGGGGAGCUGUAAGUAAGCUAUGAUCCAGAGAUUUCCGAAUGGGGGAACCCAACACGAGUUAUGUCGUGUUAUCGACAUAUGAAUUCAUAACAUGUCAGAAGGUAGACCCGGAGAACUGAAACAUCUUAGUACCCGGAGGAAGAGAAAGAAAAUUCGAUUCCCUGAGUAGCGGCGAGCGAAACGGGAAGAGCCCAAACCAAUGAGCUUGCUCAUUGGGGUUGUAGGACACUCU
rnacentral:rRNA from 1 species